GGAAGAGAGGAUGAACAAUCCAGACACCAUCUCAUUGACCGCAAGAGCUGGUUCGGCUGAUCCGGCUGACUAGGCUGGGUCCUCUGCCCACUUUACCACUCGGAGUUUAUCCUUUCUGAGGCUGUGCUUGCAGGCGAGAAGAAACCCUUACCUGACCAAGGACAACUGGUUUUUAGUCAAGAAGACCAAGUAGCUAAGUAAGCAACUUCGUUAGAAACUCCAAACAAGCUCUCACAGUCACUCAAAUUUACUAUUAGUGGUCAUGGGCAACAUAUAAAUGACAAAGAGAAGUGAAUAGAAGCAGGUGUGUGGGUAAGCCUGACCAU
rnacentral:sRNA from 14 species